UCCCUGUUACCAGGGCAGUCUAGCUAGAAAAAUACAACUAACUAUAAGGGUUGCGCUCGUUAAAGGACUUAACCUAACAUCUCACGACACGAGCUGACGACGGCCAUGCAUCACCUGUCACUUGGCUCAAUAAAGCACUUUCUCCUUUCGAAGAAAUUCCAAGGAUGUCAAGUCUGGGUAAGGUUCUUCGCUUAUCAUCGAAUUAAACCACAUGCUCCACCGCUUGUGCGGGCCCCCGUCAAUUCCUUUGAGUUUUAAUCUUGCGACCGUACUCCCCAGGCGGAUGACUUCACGCGUUAGCUGCGUUACUAAAGGAUUUAACUCCUCCAACAACUAGUCAUCAUCGUUUAGGGCGUGGACUAC
rnacentral:misc_RNA from 1 species